UUCAAGUGUGAGGAUUACCUGUGGGCAAAGUGUAGGAUGUCAGUGGAGUGUACAAGGAAAGGGAGAGCGUGAUUGGAGAGAGUGUUGGACAAGAAUUUUUAGGCGGCAGUGAAUCUAGUCCUAGAGUGUUUCUUCAUCUGCUCUAGGGGCUAUGUGAGUUGCAGCGGCUGUGCGAGAAGACGCCUGUCUGCCCUACGUUAGUGAUAGGUGUGCUCGUCACCUCUUAUCCAGAGAUGACCCUACCGGGGUGGAGUGGAGUGGGGUGGGGCCUGAGUGGAGUGGUUCUUACCUGGUUGGGCUCCCGAGGGAACCCCACAAUGGCUAGCACGCCAGCCCGGAAAUUUUUUAAAAGAACAGAGGACUAUAAACUGAAGAAAUGGCUGGAAAGUGUGCUAUACACCCAAAGUAUUUACAAACAUCAAGGGAUAGUCGGGUGCACAUAACCUAACGCCACAUAUCACUCGCCUACCUGGCCGUCUUGCCACGGUUUUGGGGAAGAGCGUAUCCUGCUACUGUAUGGGCUGGAUCAACCUCAACUUGUAACUGGUGGUAGCUACUCCAUCCAUUAAUUCUUUCCCUCUGUUGAGACAACUUAAAAGUACUAAACCACUACUCUAACUCUCCUAUUUUUCCCUGACUUUUGAUCACAGUCUCUUCUCAAUUAAUUAUGUCUUACCAUAAAAGAUACAGGCAGAUACAACGUGAACUCAAGGAACUGUUGGUUAGUAGUAGUGAAGAGGAAGCUGACUGGGUUCAUCAAAACACCAAAAUUCCCAAACUUUACCAUAAUAACUCUGACCCAUCUUUAAGCUUUUCUGACCAGGACAGUUGUGAAAGUACAUCCUUAUCCCCCUUGAUAGUAACUGCACCAGAAGAAUUAAGCACAGAUGAUGAGAGUCACCACCAUAUAUCUGAUUUGGCACUUGAAGAAGGAUUAGCUUUAUGGGCAUCAAAAAAUAACAUUACACGCCAGGCAGCAAAUGAAUUAUUGGAGCUGUUGAGGAAUAAUGGGCAUAAUCUACCUAAAGAUUCACGCACUUUGAUGGAAACUCCAAGGUAUGUAGAGGUAUUAGAAAAAUGUGGAGGACACUAUUAUUAUUUUGGGAUUGGUUCAUGUUUGCAAAAUAUAUUGAAGACUCAUCCAGCAUUUGUAAAAGAAAAUGAUUCGGUUAAACUCAGUGUAAACAUAGAUGGUAUUCCUUUACAUAAAUCAAGCAAUGAACAGUUCUGGCCUAUACUGAUAAAGUUCAGCUGCUUUAAGCCAGCAUUAGUUGCUCUGUAUUGUGGAAAGACUAAACCAGAUUCUACUGACAGUUUUUUGGAAGAUUUUCUUCAAGAAUAUAAGCAACUUUCUGAAAAUGGUUUAGUUUUUGAAGGGAAAAGACUGGCAGUAAGAAUAGUUGCAUUUAUUUGUGAUGCACCUGCAUGCUCAUUUAUCAAAUGCAUAAAAGGGCACAAUGGGUAUUACUCAUGUGAGAGAUGUGAAAUUAAAGGAACCUGGCAAUCACAUGUUCUUGUAUUAGACUCUGCACAACCCUGUAAUGAAAGAUCUGAUGAGAAAUUCAAUCAGGAACAGUACAGGGAUUCUCAUCAGUUAGGAAAAAGUCCUUUGAUUCAGUAUGGAAUAUCUUGCGUGAAAGGGUUUCCACUGGAUUACAUGCAUAUGAUUUGCCUUGGUGUUACCAGAAGAAUGCUACUUUUCCUCAUAAGAGGUUCUAAGAAAUGCAAACUUUCUCAGCUUCAAAUAAGUUUAAUUUCUUCUUCUUUAGAGAGUCUUUCCAACAAACUACCAAGUGAAUUUGCUAGACAGCCACGAUCACUAGCCGUAAUUGAUCGCUGGAAGGCCACCGAAUUUAGACAGUAUAUAUUAUACACAAGUAUUGUUGUCCUGAAAGAUGUUGUUCCUAUUAUAUACAAAAACAGUCUUUUGCUUACUGUGUCCUUAUCAGUUUUAUUGAAUUCCAAUGAUGAAAUACGAAAUUCUUACUUACCAUAUGCAAGAGAAUUACUUAAGUGUUUUGUACAACAGUGUCGAGAUAUAUAUAUGGUCAAAGUUUUAUUGUAUAUAAUGUUCAUAAUCUUCUUCACUUGGUAGAUGAUGUAGAGAAUUACCAGUGUUCCCUUAAUGACAUUUGUGCUUUCCCAUACGAGAAUGAACUUCACAAAAUAAAGCAGUUAGUGAGGUCAUCAAACAAUCCAGUUUCUCAAGUUUUCAAAAGACUUGCAGAAAAGAAAAUGUUUAAUGAAUCAAAAGUGACAGAAGCUAAUCACAGAAUAUAUAUAUCUACAAAAUACAAAAAUAAUUGUUUCAUGUUAAAAAAUGAAGAUUUUGUGUUCCUUAGGAAACUAAAAAAUGAUGUCUACUAUGAAUGUGAUGUUCUUUGUCAAAGCCAAACUGAAAAUUUUUUUACUGAACCAUGCAAUUCUAAACUCAUUAACAUUGUGUUUAUGAAAAAUAAGAGUAAUUUAAAAAAGAAAGUAAUUCACUUAGAGCAGCUGCAUAGAAAGGUGAUAAAAUUGCCAUACAAAGAUGGUGUUGUUUUAGUACCAGUUGUACAUGACAUUUCCAGUUAGGUGGGCAGUUGUACAUGGUGUAUUCUCAUGACUGAUAUGUGUUUACUAAAGAGAAGUUAAGCAAAACAUUUCAGAUCUGCAGGAUUUUAGUCUUCAUACACAAGUUGUAUUUGUUAUGUAUCUCUCUUAUGGCCAUUGUUCUUUAUCUCAAAACUGUUCAUCUGCAUCUUCACUCUCCUCUUCGUCUCCCUUGUGCCUUGUGUGCCAGUACAGCCCGGAGUGCUGCUCUUCGGGUUAUGAAGAGGAUUUUGUCAGGUUGAGACAUGGAAUGUGGAAACGAGCAGUUUGGUUGGAGGGUAAGAAAGAAGAAGAGGGUGUGGUGCCAUCCAGCUGGGUAUUAGAAGAGAACCAAACCUUGUUUUGGCCACAAGGAGUUAAUGCUGAGAAUGCCCUUCAUAAUCAGCAAGAACCAGACCCUGCAUCAUGGAGAAAGUUUAUGUUGAAAAAAGUGAAGAUCACUUCUGAUAGUUUUCAAGAAUGCGAUACCUACCAUCUGACAUCUACGGUGGAGAGUUCUGAGAGCAACAGUGAUCCUGAUGAAGGUCUACUCAUGAGAAAAAGGAGAAAACGUUGUAAGAAAAAUCUGCCUGAUGACUUUGUCAGCAGUGAAAACUUACAUGAAGCUGUCCACAUGAAGCCAGCCUCACAGAAGCCACAGGUCACAACCUCUCAAGAUAAGGUAGCUUCUGCUCCUUCACAGGUUGUACUUCCAACACCUCCUCCUAAGGUGUCUUUGGAUAUGCGGUCCACCAGAACCCAUGGGAUGAUGGAGUGCAGUGCAACAAAAGAUUCGGUAUCCAGCAAGACAUCCAAGUCAUCUGACAACAGUGAUGGCAGUGGCCAGCAUGACAGGAGACAUCAUGACACGCCUUACCAAAAAAGAAACCAUGAUCGAGGUGACAAUCUUGACCACCAUGACAGGAGACACCAUGACACACCUCACCGAAGAAGAAGCCAUGACCAAGGUGACGUGCUUAAAAAGUUCUCUGAUUCAAAUGUGACAGAAAUACAAAUGAUAGUUGCAGCAAAAUUGCGUAAUGCUCCAAAAUUGAAAAAUUAAAAUUAGCUGAUGUAAAAUGGUACUUACAAUCAGUUAAGAUCUGCAAGAAUGUUAAAACAAACCAAUCUUUGUCUCAUGCAUGACCUUGGUGAAGUAAAGUAUUUUCAUACCAAGAUGAACUGCAAUAGCGCAGUGAAAAAUCUAGUCAUACCCACUGCCAACAGGAGUCUAACCCGGGUCUCUUGAGUGAGAGCCAGACAGCAAGACCACUACACCACUGUGGUGUAGGGGUCUUGCUGCCUGGCUCUCACUCAAGAGACCCGGGUUCGACUUCUGGUGGCAGUGGGUAUGACUAGAUAAAGUAUUUUCAUUUUGUAUGUUACUAAAAAAAUGCUGGUAAAUUUAUCUCAUGACUGAUUGUACACAGAUGACCUUAUAUAUUGUAACUAUGUGUACAUUUCCCUUCCUCCCCCCUCUCUCUCUCUCUCUCUUAAAGAAGCUCUUUUUCUAUCAGAAUGACAAAAUUUAUUGAUGUGUAAACAGUAUAAGGGGGGAUGUUAGAGAAGCUUAAGAAUGAAAGAACCAGGACCGCCGAGAACCGAACCUCAGACAAGCUGUUCCCGCCACCACGCUAACCUGGUCCUGGUUCUUUCAACUUGUCGUUAUGGGAUUCAAGCUUAAGAAUGGUUUUAAGAUGUGGAGAGAGACUUACUGCUGUAAAAUUUGAACCGAUUGGGAUAUUACCUCAUGAUAUUUAUGUGAGAUGAUAUUAAUGAUCUCAGAUUAUAAAAGCAAACUAGUAUUAUUAACAGUUAUUUAUUUUGUAAUUUAGUAAUAGAUAUAACAUUUUAAUUUAUAAUUUUGCUUUUGCCUACCACUUAGGUUCCCAUGUAUUUUUACGUAAAUGAAAAAGUAUGGAGCUACACAAGUAUCAAUUCACAAAAUGCUUAAUUUCAUUGACAACUGUGGUCUGUAUUGUUUUAAGCAUAUUGUGUACUUGUGGCAGGCCUGGUAUUCUUUGCAUAUAUUCCCCCUGGGGCUACAUAGAUACUAGAAUGUAGCCCUCUCCAUGUCGGCUGUGUGCCGUAAGAGGCGACUGAUUCUGGCCCUGGGUGGGGAUCUCUUUUACUAGCCCAUAGCAGGUCUUUUUACCGCUUGACAUAUUUUCCCUUCUCAUUUCCCUUUGCUUUCUGUCCAUUUUCUUUUACGUUCUCUUACUUUUCCGAGUGGUGGGCUGACUCUUUGUCAGAGUGAGGGUUGGUGUCCUUUACUUCCCAUAGCCAUUUCUGUCUUUCUCUUGUUCUAUAUACCUCUACUGUUUAGGGUGACACUAGGCUGGGGAUCUGCCCAUUCUUCUCUACCUUUUAUAGUCCCACUUGUGGCACAUGCCCAGGGAUAAUGCUAGGCACAAGUGCCAUGGGAACCCAUUUAUUGAGUCGUGGCCCGGGAUGGCGGAUGGUCACCCUCACAGUUCAAGGGUGGUUUCUGCUGUUCUGGACCAUGGCAUGGGGAGGUAAUGCAUAGGAGCAGGUGUCAGGCUAUGGAUGGAUUGUGGCUAAACAAAGUUUUAAUUUUUUGUAUUACUGGGAUCAUCCAUUUAUAUAUUGCAGUUAUUCUUCAUUCAAGUCAGAUAUCUUGAAAGCCUUUAUAUAUAAAAAUGCAAGCACUAACUUUUUUUUUUUUUCAUAAAAUAUGGAAAUUAUUUUGGUUUUGAUAUUUUUACAAGGAUGAAGAUUAUUAAAUUUAUGAAAAAGUGUAAGACUGAAGAAUAUAUAUAUACACACUUUCUGUA